GCAAAUGCAACUGACAAGGAAGAAUGGCUGUUAGAUCAAGGAAUUGAGUGGCAUAAGAUUGAUGUCACAAUGUUGUCCAACAGGGAUGUUCCAAUUAGAACUAGGAGCAAGGAGGGUGUGAGAGGGAGGUGAGAAAGAUGUCUAGGACAGAGAAAGGGAGGUUGCAGUAUUCCACAUUCCAGUGCAAGCACGAGGAGGCGCAGGAGAGGGAGACACUUAAGUCAAACACCUACCACAUUCAUAUCUACUGACACGCCAGCACUGAUUUCAAGGAGAAUAUAUCCAUACCGCAUACAGGAAGAAAAUCAACACCAUGUCAAGAAUUACACGCAAGUGAGGAAACACACCAAAUCUAAAUCACAAGGAAAUCUCAUUCCCAGUAAGUGGCCUAUGAAACAAACUUCAAUAAUCUGCUGAAAGAAGCCUCUUCUCAUAUUUUAUGGGAAUAGAGAGAAAAGAGAGACUUCAAGAUAAUGAGGGAGAGAAGAGUUCUUACAUAUCAAGAAAAAUCUUCAAGACUGAAAUGGCACUUCUCACAGCAUUCAUAUGAACUGCAUAAA
rnacentral:lncRNA from 1 species